GUCUACAGCCAUGCUACCCUGAACAAGCCCUAUCCCUUCUAAUCUUGGAUGCUAAGCAGGGUAGGGCCUGGUUAGUACUUGGAUGGGAGAUAACCUAGGAAGACCAAGUGCUGUAGGCA
rnacentral:rRNA from 1 species